AAACCCAUAAAAAAUAAAAUUACUAUUAACUAUUUAAUUUAGAAAGUUUUCGCAUAACGAAAGACUUUCACACACCCCUUAAUUAAUCAAACAAAAAAAAACUCUUUUCUUCUUUUAG
rnacentral:snRNA from 1 species